UCUUCUAGCAAUAUAUCUUAUUAAAACAAAUUUGACAAAAUUUGAUCAGGCACAUUAAAAAUUUAAUCAAAAACAAAUUUGUAUAUAAAAUAGUAUAAAUAAGAAGUCAUUAUAUAGCUACAUGUAUUUAUAUAUUGGAAUCGACGAUAUCUAUACAAUUCAAAAUAUAUAAAUACAAUGGUCACACCAAAUACAAAGAAAUAAAUACCUAUUUUUGACAAAAAAGAUACUCACAUAUUUUUUUUUACCCAAUGAUUUUUUUUGCAUUACACAUUCUUUCCUUACACAGUUAUUUGAGAAAAAAAAAUGUGUUUAAUGGUAGACUUUACAUUUAUAUUUAUGUUAGUAAAAAAUAGCCAAGGCCCACAUUAUGUUUUAUUUGCAACGGUAAGCGAAUUUUGGGUAAGUAAACAAUUUAGGUUUAGAAAGAAAAAAAUUAAUGGUUUAAAAAAAAUUAAGAGUUAAACUCAGUCUUCUAUUAGAACUUCCAUGAUAAUUAAAAAUCUCUAAGAAACAAGCCGGAAAUUUUAUGGUUUGCACAAUUAAACAUUUGUUCAUAAUCAGAAUGCUAAUUAAUGGAGGUAACAGCAUUUAAACAAAGUAUUGAUAUUAGAUUCUUUUUGUAUCAUUCUAAUUUUAUUUUGUUAAGAAGUGUUAAACAAACUAUUGUUUCACCACGCUAAAACUAAAAGUAAAAGCUAGGUUUCGAUUGGUAAUAAUGGUUAAUCACAGAAUCGCGGAAAAAGAUAAUUCAGCCGCAGAAAAUUAAUUAAGCUUCUGAAAAUUUUGAAAUCUGCUGAAAAAGUUGGGAAUAGUUUUCUAAACAAUUGGAUAAACUUUACGAAAUUACGGAAUAUAGAUUAUUUAAAAAAAACUAAUACAUUAUUUAAUCUAUUGAAAAUUAAUAGCUAUAAAUAACUAAAUAUAAUUUUAUGAUAAAAAUACCAAUUAAAUCUAACCAAAACAUUUAUUUUAUCUUAACUAUUCAUCUUAUUCCAAAUACAUUCCUUAUAUACUAAAGAAUAAGUCACCUCACCACUAAAUUUCUGACACAUGGCAUUGCUUAACAAAAGUUUGUCGAUUAAAUUCUUUUAUUUCAUUCCCUAUUUUUUCUGCAAUUCUAACUACUUAAAUUCCAAAUCUUUCGGAAUUUUCAUCCCAGGUUUCAAUUUUCUUCUUCAUUAUCAAACUGUUUUUUCUCUGUAUAAAUAGCAAUCGACUGAUGUCAAAAAAUAAAUAUAUCAAUCGACUAAGUUAUUCUCAAACUCCACCAGAUUGCUCUUCCUUUUUCUUCAUGUUCUCAUAGGGACGCCAGUUUCUCACCGUUUAUCAGUAAAUGAAGAAAACGUAUUGGAAAGCAAUUGACAAGAAAUUGUUACUAUGCUUGCUUCUUAAAGGAUUUCAAGAAUCAUCGACAAAAUUUGGAGCUAGAGAACAUUGCUAUAACCAAUAAGAAAAUGUAAAGAAAGAAUUCAGUAAGCAUCUUGAAUACUAUUGAGCAAUUUACGUCAGAAACAUGAGGAAAUUAUAUAUGAGUGAUGAUUUUGAUAACGUUUGGGAAAAAGAGGCAAAUAAAAAAUUUCAAAACUUUUUGAUUGGAUGAAAAUUAACAGCCACAACAAAAAAUGGUAAUGAGAAAAAUAUAGAGUACUUGGAAAUACUAGAAGUAAAAAUAUCUGAUUUUAACCCCUAUAAAUUAUUGCAAUUAAUAAUUUAAUUUAAAGAAGAUAAAGUAUAUUCACGUUACAGAGGGUGAAUGUUACAGAAAGUUAACAUUUUAUAUAAAUUGCUCUAUUUAAUUAUAAAAGAGACCACACAUUUUUUAAAUUUAAAAUACAAUAAAUUUGAUCCGUGCUUUAGCACGGGAGUAACACUAGUUAAUAAUAAUACAUUAACAUAUAUUUUAAAAUGAAGUUAUAUAUUAGUAUUAUGUAUUCCAUAAUUAUUCAUAAUUUAUAAUAUUUAGUUAAUAUUUUAAAAUAUUAUUUUCAUAUAAUUAAACAAUAUGAAAAAGUUGAUUCCACAAAAAAUUUACUAAAACCUCACCUUUUCAACUAAUGGAAUUUAUUUUGUAUUAUUUUCAGCGAAACACAAAAUCCGCGUCUUUGUGUUUUAUGUUGUAUUUCAAAAAAAAAAAUUGAUUGAUAAAUUCUUGUGGAAUUGCGGUUUUUAAUGUCAUUCCGCAUAUUACCAAUAAAGGCCAUAGUGUUUCAUACACGCCUUUUACCUUUCUUGGAUUUAAAUAAGAACAAAUUAGCUCAAUAUACUAAAAAAGUAGGAUACCAUAGAAUAUGAGGGAAAAUGGUAAUGAUGGGACGAAGAAAAUUGGAGGGAAAUAAGGUAUGGAGUGCAAAUGUGUCUGCUGGCAAAUGUCUACUAUAAAUUGAUCAUCACAUCCGUGUGGGUGUUUCAACACAUUUCACGGAGAUUUAAAAAAAAUUGUAUACAUCCUCUGUAUACAAAUAUAUGAUAUUCUACCUUUUUAUCUUGUAUACAAAUGUAUGAUAUUUUAUGAUAUAAUUAAUUUAUUUAUCUUUAAAAAGAAACAUAAAUUAAAAACGAAAUUAUGAAUAGUGAAACUUUAUUGAUAAAAUCAAAAAGUAAUAACCAAAAGAGUAUAUCUAUUGUUUUUUAAUAUGUGUGGAAAACCAUAAACAUCAUAUAUUUGUAUUCAGUGGGAGUAACAAACUAUAAUGUAUUUAUUUAAUGUAUGCUUAAUUAAAUUAAAAUGGUUUAAAUAAAAAUAUAUUGGCUAUUCAAAACGGUAAAAGAUAAAUUUAAUGUAUAAUAUUGCAUGAAAAUGUAGAAUGACACCUUUUGUAAAACAUACAAAUAACAUAAAAUGACACACUUUGUGAAACAUAGAGAGUAUUUGUUUUCAACAAUUAGUGUUAUAUAUUUUAUAUGUGUCACCAUAAAAUUAAUUGUAUAUUGAUUAUUUGAAUAUUUUAGACGCCUAUACAUUAUAAUCACCCGAAUCGAAUAAGAUAAUAUGAUUGCGUUGGUUAUUUUGUUAUUCAAGUUAUUUUUAGUUUGGAUACAAAAUACUCAAACUGAAUGAGACAAUAUAGUUACUUUUUGUACAAAUAUCCUAACUCAUUUUAGACACAUAUGUUAUUUUUGAUAUUUUUAGGUUUCUACACAUCAGAACUGAAUUUACCUAAACAUAGGAUGACCCAACUAGAAACCCACCAGAAAAUUUAUAAUAUCGUAACGGAGCCUAAUUUCAAAACUCAAAAACCUAAUAUCCGAAAAGACAACACUUACCCAAUCGUAUAAGAGAAUAUCCAUAUCUAACUAAUUUUAUAAAGAUUUUUUUUUUAAAUAAAUCUUUCUUAACCAUUUUGAAUUAUUGUCACAAAUAGAAUAAUUUAUUCAAAUAUGUCAAAUUUUCAUAGUUAACAUGUAAAAUAAAAUUAUGGUAAAAAUAAUUAAUGAAAUUUCUCUAAAAGAUAAAUUAUGUUUUGUAUUUCUGUAAUAAAUGAUGUUGGGUUAUUUAGAAAAUAAAAUAAAUGAACUAAUUAUAACUAGUGAAAAAGAAUGAAAAUAUGUAAAAUCCUACUUAAAAAUAUGCAAGAAAUAAUUAUUUAGUAAAAAAAAUUAUACUUUUUACUACGUUAUCUUCUUUAACAAAAAAAAAGAAGAAGAAGAAGGAAACAACCAUCAAUACUCAAACAUGCAUUUUCUAUCAUAUUUGAAUAUGGAUAGUGAUAUGCAGCAUUAUUACAAAAUACUGAAGAAUAAAUCUCGAUCUUGCAAUAAUAAACACCUUUUAUCGUAAAAAGAUGAAGUAUGCAUUAUUCGACACAAGUCAGGCGGCCUAAUUGAUUUAUUGGGGUAACAAAAAAUGAUAUCUUCUUAUUUUAUUUAUAGAAUCUUGUUACUCCCAAAAAAAUUCCACAAAUUAAAUUAACAAAUAUUCUAUAAAUAACAAGAAGUUUACAUCAACAGCGCACCAGCUUUUUUAAAAAAAUGUACCACCAUGGCCAUGUUUUUGCAAAGUGUUUUUAAACCUUGACAUUGGGGCGGAUGGCGGCUUUGGACCCAUGCAUCUUUCGCAAAAAAAAAAAAUUAUAUUCACAA